UACGUAGGGUGCGAGCGUUAAUCGGAAUUACUGGGCGUAAAGCGUGCGCAGGCGGUUCUAUAAGACAGAUGUGAAAUCCCCGGGCUUAACCUGGGAACUGCGUUUGUGACUGUAGGACUCGAGUGCGGCAGAGGGGGGUGGAAUUCCACGUGUAGCAGUGAAAUGCGUAGAGAUGUGGAGGAACACCGAUGGCGAAGGCAGCCCCCUGGGUCGACACUGACGCUCAUGCACGAAAGCGUGGGGAGCAAACAGG
rnacentral:rRNA from 1 species